rnacentral:lncRNA from 1 species
AUUUUUCUUCAUUUAGUAUUUUGAAUGUAUAUUAUUUGCUGUGUUGUGUGUGAUUAAGAAGAAAGUCAGAAUUCAGAAGGAGAAGACAUUUGCCUAAUGUUUUUAAAUAAAUAAUGUUAUUCAAACUUAAUUAUUAUAUUUUAUUUUUUAGAAUAUUUAUCAUGUCUUUUAUUUUGAUAUUUCUAAAUGAUCAAUAUCAAUAGUUUGAAGUUGAAAUGAAAAUAAGUAUUGUUAAUUUAAUUUUAAAAAAGUAUUUUUUACAACUUUUCCGCUACUCCUGAUGACGAAAAUUGAUUAAAUUCAUGGGUAAUAAUAGUUUUGUUUUAUUUCUAGUUAAGACUUAUUAAAAAGCUUUUUUUUAAUGUUCAUAUAUUUCCUCCCCUAUUAUUAUACUUAUGGUUCGCUAGCCCAGAGUUAGGAUCAACUCAUCUCUCCACCCUUAGCAGAUUAAGCAAACAUUUAUAAAAACAAUGUCACGCCAUCUGUCGGUUGAUUAAAUGUAUGCCCAUUCCGAAUACAUUAUCAUUGACCAAUGUUAUCACUUGCAUACUCUUCAGUGUGGAGGUGAAAACAUUGUAGCAUCUAUAGAGUUUAAAAUAUUGGUGAAGCAUGUAACGAAAAAGUAUGUUGACAUUCAAACAUGUGUGUAAGAUCAUACACAGAGCCUUUAAUUGUUUAUUAGGAAAAUUUAAAGAGUCACUAAAAAUCGUCGUAGGUUUUAGGGGUAAAGAGUUGUUCCAAUUCAACACGUGGCAGUUGUGUACCUACCAUUUCUACAUUUACAUGUGAUCAUAUCAUAUUUUGAUUGGAUGCAGCCAGUAACGACUGCAACCAAUAAAAAUCUUUACGUCGUGGACCCAAAAUUCUCUAUUUAUCCGCCAAUGAUGUAGAGGAGGGGAUUGGAUCGUAACUCUUGGCUUGCGAAGAUGUAUUAGACUUAUGUCAUAACGUUGUGUAAGAAUUUCGAGUGGAAAGGUUUUUUUUUUACGGGGAGUGAUGUGGCGUGGUCAAUUUAUAUAUCAAAGAACUGAUGGUCAAUAAUUGAUCAGUUUAAUUUAACAGACCUUUGAUUCUAAUUAAUGUGAAAGUUUAUACGGAACACGAUUUGAACAGUAGAGCUACAAUAACAUUGAAAAUUUACAAUUUUAUUCUGAGACCAUAGAGCAAAUUGAAUGUUUAUAGUAUAAAUAUUAAGAAUCAGAUGUUACAUGUAAUAGCAAGAUCUUGAGAGAAAUUUAGAUUGGUCAGUAAGUUUAUAGAUGGCUUUGAAGUAACAAUUUGUAUAUAUAUUAAUUAGAGUAUGAUUAUUACCUAUAUAUAUUAUACAUGUACUGUUAAAUGAAGAUAUGUAAGCAUUAAACAUGUGAA